UUCUUCUUCCUUCUUCUCUCGGGUUCUCUCGAGUUCAUCUAAAUCAAUUUCAAUUUUUUGAUUGAUUGUUAACGUAGAGAAGCUAGGGUUUGAGAUGAUUUCAGAGAAAGAUACUGGUAGCUGCAGAAAGGGUGGCGGAUGUUUAAGACGAGCUGAGAAAGGGGUUUUGAUUGUGGGUGCGAGCUGAGGAAGGGAUGAGUUGCAGUUGAUUUGAGAGAUGGUGAUGAAAUACAAGCAGUUGAUUGUGGAUUUGAGUUGGGUUUCGGUCGAAUUUGCAAACUGACUCUAGUUGGAGAUGUUACAAAGAAAUUAGGGUUGUGUGGUUAUCUAUAGUCGAGAUGAAAUUGAAAUGAUUUUCGGAGAUUCAACGGUUUGAUUGUGAUGAGAAGAUGGAGUUGUUGAUGUCAAUCGAUUGGAUAAGUUUAAUCUUCUUAUGUACCCAUUUCGACUGUGAACCGUCUAAUCUGAAGUUCCUGAGACAGUAUAUGGAUGAUGUUGAGCUCGAUCUGUGAUGUUUAAUUAUUUGGCGUUGAGAUUCAAGCCAAUUUGAGGGUUCUUACUGUACAAGAGGAAAUUGACAGCAGCGAAGGCAACAUUAUGUUGGCUGAAAAAUGAAAUUGAGUUCUUGAUCUCAAUUGAGAAAUGAAAUUACAAUAACGGAGAAAUGGACGGAAAAAUUUGUAAGAAGAAGAAGCAACAGUCUGUUGAUGUUUUGUGCUCAAUUUGAGUUGGUUGAUUGAAUGUGCAGUGGUGAUAGUUGAUUGAGUUGUUGCAGCUGGUAGAGAUUGAAGACUGUGUUGUCCCCAUGAAUCAAUUUGACUGUGUACCAAGGAUUGGAAGUGCAGUCAUAAAUCCAUUUUAGGAGUUGCUUCUCUUGAGCUUUGUUCGGGCGCCAUACAAGGAUGAUAUGUGAUAUGUAGCCCACUUGAACUCUCCAAGGUAAAGAAAUACUGAAAUUGUGUUGAUACUUGCUCAUUCGCAUUUGAUGUUCCCUACUGCAUUUCUUCUUAAUUCAUACUUUAUGUUUUAUUGAUGCCAACCACUUACUCAGCUCCACCAAUCGAUAGUUAAAGUAGAAUAAAAAUGAUAGUUAUAUUUGAAUAAAUGCAAUUGUUUGAACAAAUGCAAUGGUUUCUUGUGAUGGUUCUGCAAGCAAGGAAGAAAUGGAAUAUAUAACAUGAGUGUUAUAACUGGGGUUUGAGUUAUGGUUAGCUAAGACAUGGUUUUGAAGCUGAGUUUACAAAGUCUGGAAACGUGCAGAAUGGUUUGUGUGGAACUGCAGGUUGUAAUUGCAGUAGAAGAUAUUUGUGGUUAAUCUUGGUGGUGAUUUAAGACAGGAAAAAUGGUGGUUGUAUGCCUUGGUCUGGUGCUGCAGGCAUGAAUUGAUGAUUGUGCAGCAUGAUAGUCGCUGGUGUUUUGGGUUAGUGUAUGUGAAGCUGCCGGAAAUUGGAUUUGGAUUGAGUCUGUGUGCAAGAUGAAGAUGGCUUUGAGGCUGAAUUUCUGUGGUCAUGUUGUUGAUAACAAACAGGUAUUUGGUGGUGGUUGCCAACAGUUCUCAUGGUUAUGAUUAAUGGAUCAGUGAAGGUUGAGCUGUGUCGCUGUUGCUGAUGUGGAUAUGAAGUUGGUGACGUGUACAAAAUCUACCUAGCAUACCCGAGUCCAUGUGUACAGAGUCCAUGAUGAUUUACCCGAGUUAAAUCAGUAAUACAUAAUUAAAUCAGCGAUUCAAAGGACUAUUAGGUCUUUUUAGUUACAGCUAACGGUGCUAACUUUCCAUCCAUCAUUUUUGGUCAAAACUUGCCUAGUUUUGCAAUAAAUAAAAAAACAGGCCUAACUUUGAAAAGCACAAAAAAAAAACAGAUCUAUUUUUGUAAAAAGCCCUUUGAACAUACGGUACAACUGGUAUUACUCAAAAAGUAUGUUAAGAUACCUAAAGUGUGUGAGUAACUACGAAAUUGAGUUGGUUAAUGUACGUAGAUUAGCCGUCUUGUGUGGGAAACUUUUUCUACUAAACCAUGAAACUCCAAUUGUCUUCAGCACCUGACAUUUGGAACAGUAGACAUGGUCUGGUCACUGGAGACUUGGCUUAGUUGGGUCAACCUCGUGUAUGUGUCCAACCUCGUUUGAGAAGUCAUAGGCUAACCAUUUUGAAUUGAAUCACACUACAUUAUCAAUAGUUCAAGUUUAUGUAUUGGAAUUUAUGAUUAGUGGUUUUGCCUUUUAGUUAUAAAUCUUGAUUUUUACUGAUAUGUUAACUUCCUUUGACUCAUCCAAUAGAUGGCUGGCCUAAUCGUUGGGUCAAAUCCGAUUGGAAGCAUGAAAACAGUCUGGUCAUCCGGACGGUAAAGGAUGAACUCUUUGAGUUCUGGUGUUCUGCACAAGUUAAAUAAAUAAUUUCCAGUCCCAAAUUCCAGUUCUGAUUCUUCUGAAUCAGCGUUGUUUCGAGGAGUAUAUUCCCCUAAAAUUGACAAUGCAAAUUUGUUGUUUUAAGUUGUGACAUUGGCUUAAUCUUAAUCUCAAGUCUUAACUCGGACAUAAUUGAGAUGUUCUUAUGUUCUGACCCAUUUACGGGCUGCGAAUGAAGGAUUUCUACUAGCAAAGACUUUACCCAUUUAUGUAGUCAUGCUACGCUACUAAGUUCCGGAUCUCUUAUUCUCUCCUUUUUAUGUUGAACAGAUUAUUAUUUCUCUGUAAGAAGUAACAUGAACGGUUUCUUGGAUUACUCUUUCCAUAUAUGAAUUGUUUCUCUUUUGUA